rnacentral:rRNA from 1 species
UUAAGUUAUUAAGGGCGCACGGUGGAUGCCUUGGCACUAGAAGCCGAUGAAGGACGUUACUAACGACGAUAUGCUUUGGGGAGCUGUAAGUAAGCUUUGAUCCAGAGAUUUCCGAAUGGGGAAACCCAGCAUGAGUUAUGUCAUGUUAUCGAUAUGUGAAUACAUAGCAUAUCAGAAGGCACACCCGGAGAACUGAAACAUCUUAGUACCCGGAGGAAGAGAAAGAAAAUUCGAUUCCCUUAGUAGCGGCGAGCGAAACGGGAAGAGCCCAAACCAACAAGCUUGCUUGUUGGGGUUGUAGGACACUCUAUACGGAGUUACAAAGGACGACAUUAGACGAAUCAUCUGGAAAGAUGAAUCAAAGAAGGUAAUAAUCCUGUAGUCGAAAAUGUUGUCUCUCUUGAGUGGAUCCUGAGUACGACGGAGCACGUGAAAUUCCGUCGGAAUCUGGGAGGACCAUCUCCUAAGGCUAAAUACUCUCUAGUGACCGAUAGUGAACCAGUACCGUGAGGGAAAGGUGAAAAGCACCCCGGAAGGGGAGUGAAAUAGAACCUGAAACCGUGUGCUUACAAGUAGUCAGAGCCCGUUAAUGGGUGAUGGCGUGCCUUUUGUAGAAUGAACCGGCGAGUUACGAUUUGAUGCAAGGUUAAGCAGUAAAUGUGGAGCCGUAGCGAAAGCGAGUCUGAAUAGGGCGUUUAGUAUUUGGUCGUAGACCCGAAACCAGGUGAUCUACCCUUGGUCAGGUUGAAGUUCAGGUAACACUGAAUGGAGGACCGAACCGACUUACGUUGAAAAGUGAGCGGAUGAACUGAGGGUAGCGGAGAAAUUCCAAUCGAACCUGGAGAUAGCUGGUUCUCUCCGAAAUAGCUUUAGGGCUAGCCUCAAGUGAUGAUUAUUGGAGGUAGAGCACUGUUUGGACGAGGGGCCCCUCUCGGGUUACCGAAUUCAGACAAACUCCGAAUGCCAAUUAAUUUAACUUGGGAGUCAGAACAUGGGUGAUAAGGUCCGUGUUCGAAAGGGAAACAGCCCAGACCACCAGCUAAGGUCCCAAAAUAUAUGUUAAGUGGAAAAGGAUGUGGCGUUGCCCAGACAACUAGGAUGUUGGCUUAGAAGCAGCCAUCAUUUAAAGAGUGCGUAAUAGCUCACUAGUCGAGUGACACUGCGCCGAAAAUGUACCGGGGCUAAACAUAUUACCGAAGCUGUGGAUUGUCCUUUGGACAAUGGUAGGAGAGCGUUCUAAGGGCGUUGAAGCAUGAUCGUAAGGACAUGUGGAGCGCUUAGAAGUGAGAAUGCCGGUGUGAGUAGCGAAAGACGGGUGAGAAUCCCGUCCACCGAUUGACUAAGGUUUCCAGAGGAAGGCUCGUCCGCUCUGGGUUAGUCGGGUCCUAAGCUGAGGCCGACAGGCGUAGGCGAUGGAUAACAGGUUGAUAUUCCUGUACCACCUAUAAUCGUUUUAAUCGAUGGGGGGACGCAGUAGGAUAGGCGAAGCGUGCGAUUGGAUUGCACGUCUAAGCAGUAAGGCUGAGUAUUAGGCAAAUCCGGUACUCGUUAAGGCUGAGCUGUGAUGGGGAGAAGACAUUGUGUCUUCGAGUCGUUGAUUUCACACUGCCGAGAAAAGCCUCUAGGUAGAAAAUAGGUGCCCGUACCGCAAACCGACACAGGUAGUCAAGAUGAGAAUUCUAAGGUGAGCGAGCGAACUCUCGUUAAGGAACUCGGCAAAAUGACCCCGUAACUUCGGGAGAAGGGGUGCUCUUUAGGGUUAACGCCCAGAAGAGCCGCAGUGAAUAGGCCCAAGCGACUGUUUAUCAAAAACACAGGUCUCUGCUAAACCGUAAGGUGAUGUAUAGGGGCUGACGCCUGCCCGGUGCUGGAAGGUUAAGAGGAGUGGUUAGCUUCUGCGAAGCUACGAAUCGAAGCCCCAGUAAACGGCGGCCGUAACUAUAACGGUCCUAAGGUAGCGAAAUUCCUUGUCGGGUAAGUUCCGACCCGCACGAAAGGCGUAACGAUUUGGGCACUGUCUCAACGAGAGACUCGGUGAAAUCAUAGUACCUGUGAAGAUGCAGGUUACCCGCGACAGGACGGAAAGACCCCGUGGAGCUUUACUGUAGCCUGAUAUUGAAAUUCGGCACAGCUUGUACAGGAUAGGUAGGAGCCUUUGAAACGUGAGCGCUAGCUUACGUGGAGGCGCUGGUGGGAUACUACCCUAGCUGUGUUGGCUUUCUAACCCGCACCACUUAUCGUGGUGGGAGACAGUGUCAGGCGGGCAGUUUGACUGGGGCGGUCGCCUCCUAAAAGGUAACGGAGGCGCUCAAAGGUUCCCUCAGAAUGGUUGGAAAUCAUUCAUAGAGUGUAAAGGCAUAAGGGAGCUUGACUGCGAGACCUACAAGUCGAGCAGGGUCGAAAGACGGACUUAGUGAUCCGGUGGUUCCGCAUGGAAGGGCCAUCGCUCAACGGAUAAAAGCUACCCCGGGGAUAACAGGCUUAUCUCCCCCAAGAGUUCACAUCGACGGGGAGGUUUGGCACCUCGAUGUCGGCUCAUCGCAUCCUGGGGCUGUAGUCGGUCCCAAGGGUUGGGCUGUUCGCCCAUUAAAGCGGUACGCGAGCUGGGUUCAGAACGUCGUGAGACAGUUCGGUCCCUAUCCGUCGUGGGCGUAGGAAAUUUGAGAGGAGCUGUCCUUAGUACGAGAGGACCGGGAUGGACAUACCUCUGGUGUACCAGUUGUCGUGCCAACGGCAUAGCUGGGUAGCUAUGUGUGGACGGGAUAAGUGCUGAAAGCAUCUAAGCAUGAAGCCCCCCUCAAGAUGAGAUUUCCCAACUUCGGUUAUAAGAUCCCUCAAAGAUGAUGAGGUUAAUAGGUUCGAGGUGGAAGCAUGGUGACAUGUGGAGCUGACGAAUACUAAUCGAUCGAAGACUUAAUCAA